rnacentral:rRNA from 1 species
GAUUCAGCCCCGUCCACAUCAGCCGGCCCACGGGCGGUUGCUCCCGGCCGCUGGUCGCGUCGCAAGGCGCACUCUGGUGCGAGUCAGGCGCACCGGCCGCCCGUGGUCAAAGGUGGCGGCAGGGUGCACUUCUGUUCCCGAGUUGGACGUCCCGACCCGUUGGAGGAGUCUACGGACGAAGCGGCCUAAGUCCCGGGACAGAGCCCGGGGGUGCUUCCGCUGAGGCGCGUGUGGAAGGUGCCCUUGGACCCCGGUUAAAGCCCGGCCGCCCUCCGACGGUCUUUAUGUCAAGGAGGAUAAAGGCCAACUACCUUGCGUUCGCGCGAGUGAGUGAGCGUCCGCCCCGUCGGGGCAAGCUAUCCGGUGGACUAUUCCGGGUGUCGCGUGGCUCUCGUCAUGCCCCCGGACCCCGGUUAGGCUGUUGGUCCCCAGCGCUCUCGGACAAUGGCCACUCCAGUCAGCGGCGCUUCUGCUUUGGGUACUCUCCCGACCCGUCUUGAAA